CAGGUUCAACUCCCAGCAUCUCGAGGUUGGGCAGAAACCCCAGAGAGCCUCUUGCCAAACAGGAGUUGGAUACCUAGUUGCCAGCUUAUCUGACAAACAGCCCAGUCUGCUCUUGUGCGUUUGACACCAGCCUGAUGUGAAGAAAUCCACGUGCAAAGGCUAGAGAUUAUCAGCUGCUCAUCUUAAAAGUGGUAUUUGAGGGGCAGUGUUCAGUUUCAGCAAAGGACACAGUGGAAUGUGACACUGGAGGGCGAAACAAAGCAACCAUCGACCAGCAGCUUUGGAAAAUGGUGUGGCCGGUUAUUACUUACAUUGGACGAAAAA